rnacentral:rRNA from 1 species
CAGGACGAACGCUGGCGGCGUGCCUAACACAUGCAAGUCGAGCGGGGACAUACGACGGAGUCAAAGUUUCGGAUGGAGACGAAGAUGUAUGUUCUAGCGGCGGACGGGUGAGUAACGCGUGAGCAACCUGUCCCUUACAGGGGGAUAACACAGCGAAAGUUGUACUAAUACCGCAUGAGACCACGGGAGGACAUCCUCCAGGGGUCAAAGGAGCAAUCCGGUAAGGGGUGGGCUCGCGUCCGAUUAGAUAGUUGGUGAGGUAACGGCCCACCAAGUCGACGAUCGGUAGCCGACCUGAGAGGGUGAUCGGCCACAUUGGGACUGAGACACGGCCCAACUCCUACGGGAGGCAGCAGUGGGGAAUAUUGGGCAAUGGGGGGAAACCCUGACCCAGCAACGCCGCGUGAGGGAAGAAGGUUUUCGGAUCGUAAACCUCUGUCCUUGGUGAAGAGGAAGAGACGGUAGCCAAGGAGGAAGCCCCGGCUAACUACGUGCCAGCCGCCGC